CAAAGAUCAACUGUACCUAGAACAUAGAUACAGAGCCACUUGUCAUCAGGAAGCUGCUCUCUCAGCACAACGGAAAAUAUCUCAAUGACUUGACAUGUUCUGGUUGUGAAUUCAGGCUACAAGGGGUAAGUGCUCUUAAAUGAGUCUCUCUGGAGUGAGAAAGGAGAGGGUCCCUGCUUCUAAAAUGAGCCUCUCUGGGGAGAGAAAGGAGGGGGGCCCUACCUCUAAAAUGAGUCUCUCUGGAGCGAGAAAGGAGGGGGUCCCUCCCUAUAAAAUGAGUCUCUCUGGAGCGAGAAAGGAGGGGAGCCUUGCCUCUAAAACGAGUCUCUCUGGGGAGAGAGAGGAGGGGGUCCCUGCCUCUAAAAUGAGUCUCUCUGGAGCGAGAAAAGAGGGGGACCCUGCCUUUAAAAUGUGUCUCUCUGGAGCGAGAAACGAGGGGGGCCCUGCCUCUAAAAUGAGUCUCUCUGGAGCGAGAAGAGGGGGGGCUGCCUCUAAAAUUAGUCUCUCUGGAGCGAGAAAGGAGGGGAGCCUUGCCUCUAAAAUGAGCGUCUCUGGGGAGAGAAAGGAGGGGGGCCCUGCCUCUAAAAUGAGUCUCCCUGGAGCAAGAAAGGAGAGGGGCCCUGUCUCUAAAAUGAGUCUCUCUGGAGCGAGAAAGGAGGGGGGCCCUGCAUCUAAAAUGAGUCUCUCUGGAGCAAGAAAGGAGGGGGGCCCUGCCUCUAAAAUGAGUCUCUCUGGAGCGAGAAAGGAGGGCGUCCCUGCCUCUAAAAUGAGUCUCUCUGGGGAGAGAGAGGAGGUGGUCCCUGCCUCUAAAAUGAGUCUCUCUGGGGAACAUGACACCAAAUCUAAGAGCCCAAUGAAGCAGGAGAGACCAGCCUCCCCUGUACCCAGCUGUGUGUCCAUGAAGAGUGACCAGUCUAUGAAACGUCCUAUAAUGGUUGGAGAGGGAGACUUUUCUACUGAACAAAG